GACGAACGCUGGCGGCGUGCUUAACACAUGCAAGUCGAACGGAAAGGCCCUGCUUUUGUGGGGUGCUCGAGUGGCGAACGGGUGAGUAACACGUGAGUAACCUGCCCUUGACUUUGGGAUAACUUCAGGAAACUGGGGCUAAUACCGGAUAGGAGCUCCUGCUGCAUGGGGGGGGUUGGAAAGUUUCGGCGGUUGGGGAUGGACUCGCGGCUUAUCAGCUUGUUGGUGGGGUAGUGGCUUACCAAGGCUUUGACGGGUAGCCGGCCUGAGAGGGUGACCGGCCACAAUGGGACUGAGAUAGGGACCAGACUCCUACGGGAGGCAGCAGUGGGGAAUAUGGCACAAUGGGCGGAAGCCUGAUGCAGCGACGCCGCGUGCGGGAUGACGGCCUUCGGGUUGUAAACCGCUUUCGCCUGUGACGAAGCGUGAGUGACGGUAAUGGGUAAAGAAGCACCGGCUAACUACGUG
rnacentral:rRNA from 1 species